CUUCAUCUCCAACCUCCAUGGAGGGGAGAGGGACUAGAGGUUGAAUCAAUUGCCAAUGGUCAACGAUUUAAUCAAUCAUAACUAAGUAAUGAAGCCUCUGCAAAACUCCAAGAGGGACAGUGUUGAAACACCUUCACCUUGGUGAACACAUGGAGAUGCCAGAAGAAUCAUAUACUUGGAUUGGGCAUGAAAGCUCUGGGCCCUUUCUCUGUGCCUUGCCCUUUGGCUGUUCCUGAGUUAUCUCUUUUUAUGAUACACUGGUAAUCUAGAUCAUUCUGGUUGCUGUAUUAAGAAUAGAUUGAAAUGAGGGUGAGGGAAGAAUCAUGAGACCAAUUAGGAGGAUAUUGCAAAACUUUAGCCAAGAGUUUAAGAGAAGAUUUGACCAUACGGUAGCAAAGAUAUUAUAAUAAAAGAAUCUUUGAUGUUGGAAUUUUCUGAAUAAGGCAGCAGAAGAAAAGAAACCUUUAGCACAAGGCCUUUAAUUUUGGUAUGUUAAGGCAUGGCUUGUCUGGAACAAUGCAAAGAUUGUAGAGAUGCUGUUUUAAAAUGAGCAUGAACAAUGAACAAAAUUGCAUCAGUGCCAAGAAAUUCACCUGGGAAGAUACAAAUGACAGCUUGAGGAUGAAAACUGUUUGCAUCUCAUGGUAAACACAAGAUGACUUUCUCCAAUUAUUGCUUGUUACUUGCAGGAUAUAAUAUUCUUUGUAUAUAUUGCAAUUAUUACUGUCAGUGCAAUAUCAUUUGUUUAAUGACUUAAAAAUAUGUUUUGCAUAAUGAAAGUGACUGUGGCAAAGAAAUCUAAU